AAAGGGGAAAGGGAGGCAAGCAGGAUUUUCUCUCUCUCUCUCCUACAAUGAUUUGUGGCUGUGCUUCUUAUGUGUGCUUGAACUGUAGGCUAAGGCUAUGCUUGAAGACUUUGGGUGCAUGUCCAAAAGAAGAAGGUUAACAUGGAAUGGGAGAAAAAUGUUUUCCUUCACUUCCCCCAAAGACUCUACAUGAAUAUCUAUGAGUUGAGCAGAUCUUCAGAGAUGGGCUUUGCACAGGAUCCCUGUGCUUCAGAGGGCCUCGUUUCCAGCAGUAAAAUGGCCGUUUGGAAGAUCACUGAUUCGAUGGUGCCAACUCAAGAGUAUACCUGCAGAAAGUCCUGACCUUUUUCUUCAAGCUAUGAUAGGCCAAGCUGUACUUCCAAGUCACUCUUCAUCAACAGAACAAUAGGCUCCUGGCACUUUCAACACCUGAACAGCCAUCUGGCCAUAGACCAUGGAGAACGUAAACCACAGAGAACGUAAAUUCAGUUCUAUGGCAGUGGCCCAGCCCUGAGAGCUACAUGGAUGAAGACACAGGAGCAAGGAUACAAGUAACCUAGAGGAGGCAUACUAGUCAUUCUGAAGGACAUGGUGGACUACGGAUUCCAAGUCUUCUUCAGAACUUCUAAGUUUCUUCUCCAGGAAUUUCCCCGUGGAACUUUCGAUUUUGAAAGAAACUCCAUGGAAAAAGGGGUUCCCCUUUCCCACCACAAAGUCCCCACCUCCCAGUCAUGACAAAGUGCAAGUUGCCCUUCACUGAGGAAUGAUUUG